rnacentral:snoRNA from 1 species
AGCCUCAUUCCAAAUGAGAAUCAGCACUGUUGAUUGGUGUCCUAAAUUAGUUAGUGUGGCUAAAUUCAGACACAGAUCAUGUUUCCAUCACAGUAAAUGCAUUUCAGUGGUGACAAUGAGUCCUGUAACAUUU